rnacentral:rRNA from 1 species
UAACUAGGAUUCCCCUAGUAACUGCGAGUGAAGCGGGAAGAGCUCAAAUUUGAAAUCUGGCGGUCUGUGGGCCGUCCGAGUUGUAAUCUGGAGAAGUGUUUUCCGCGUUGGACCGUGUACAAGUCUCCUGGAAGGGAGCGUCGGAGAGGGUGAGAAUCCCGUGUCUGGCACGGACCGCCAAUGCUUUGCGAUACGCUCUCGAAGAGUCGAGUUGUUUGGGAAUGCAGCUCAAAAGGGGUGGUAAAUUCCAUCUAAAGCUAAAUAUUGGCGAGAGACCGAUAGCGAACAAGUACCGUGAGGGAAAGAUGAAAAGCACUUUGAAAAGAGAGUUAAAGAGUAUGUGAAAUUGUUGAAAGGGAAACGUUUGAAGUCAGUCGCGUCCGUCAGAACUCAGCCUGGUUGUUUUUCUCGGCCUGGUGUACUUUCUGUCGGACGGGUCAACGUCGGUUUCGAGCGGUGGAGAAAGGCGAGGGGAAGGUGGCGCCGCUUGGGUGGCGUGUUAUAGCCCCUCGUCGUAUGCAUCGGUUGGGACCGAGGAAGUUGCAGCACGCCCUUGUGGGCCGGGGGUUUGAACCCUACGUUUAUCGUGCUUAGGAUGUUGGCAUAAUGGCUUUAAGCGACCCGUCUUGAAACACGGACCAAGGAGUCUAACAUGCUUGCGAGUGUUCGGGUGGAAAACCCUUGCGCGUAAUGAAAGUGAAAGUUGGGAGCCCCGUUCGUCAGCGAAGGGGGUGCACCGACGCCCGGCCCUGAAGUCGUCUGAAGGUGCUGCGGUAGAGCAGGUAUGCUGGGACCCGAAAGAUGGUGAACUAUGCCUGAAUAGGGUGAAGCCAGAGGAAACUCUGGUGGAGGCUCGUAGCGAUUCUGACGUGCAAAUCGAUCGUCAAAUUUGGG